rfam:Ictidomys tridecemlineatus contig060465, whole genome shotgun sequence.
CAGGGUAUAGCUCAGUGGUACAGCAUAUGCUUAGCAUGUGUGAGGCCCUGGGAUGGAGACCCAGCACCCUGC